UAACAAGGUCUCCGUUGGUGAACCAGCGGAGGGAUCAUUAUAGAGUUUUCUAAACUCCCAACCCAUGUGAACUUACCUUUUGUUGCCUCGGCAGAAGUUAUAGGUCUUCUUAUAGCUGCUGCCGGUGGACCAUUAAACUCUUGUUAUUUUAUGUAAUCUGAGCGUCUUAUUUUAAUAAGUCAAAACUUUCAACAACGGAUCUCUUGGUUCUGGCAUCGAUGAAGAACGCAGCGAAAUGCGAUAAGUAAUGUGAAUUGCAGAAUUCAGUGAAUCAUCGAAUCUUUGAACGCACAUUGCGCCCAUUAGUAUUCUAGUGGGCAUGCCUGUUCGAGCGUCAUUUCAACCCUUAAGCCUAGCUUAGUGUUGGGAAUCUACUUCUCUUAGGAGUUGUAGUUCCUGAAAUACAACGGCGGAUUUGUAGUAUCCUCUGAGCGUAGUAAUUUUUUUCUCGCUUUUGUUAGGUGCUAUAACUCCCAGCCGCUAAACCCCCAAUUUUUUGUGGUUGACCUCGGAUCAGGUAGGAAUACCCGCUGAACUUAAGCAUAUCAAUAA
rnacentral:misc_RNA from 1 species